CAGCCGCCGCGGGAAUACCGAGGGUGCGAGCGUUAAUCGGAUUUACUGGGCGUAAAGCGUGCGUAGGCGGCUUUUUAAGUCGGAUGUGAAAUCCCUGAGCUUAACUUAGGAAUUGCAUUCGAUACUGGGAAGCUAGAGUAUGGGAGAGGAUGGUAGAAUUCCAGGUGUAGCGGUGAAAUGCGUAGAGAUCUGGAGGAAUACCGAUGGCGAAGGCAGCCAUCUGGCCUAAUACUGACGCUGAGGUACGAAAGCAUGGGGAGCAAACAGGAUUAGAGACCCCAGUAGUCCCUGUCUCUUAUAC
rnacentral:rRNA from 1 species